rnacentral:rRNA from 1 species
CCCUUAGAUGUUCUGGGCGGCCCGCGCACUACACUGGCACUCUCAAUCAGAGCCUGGAUCUAACACUUUGGGGUAUUCUAUGAAGUGGUGUCGUGACUGGGAUUAACCCUUGCAAUUAUUGGUUACGAACGAGGAAUUCCUUGUAAUCGCGGUUUAUCAGCCCGCGUUGGAUGCGUCCCUGCCCUUUGUACACACCGCCCGUCGCUCCUACCGAUGGAUCGUCCGGUGAAGCUCAUGGAGGGGCGGUUGUCUCAGCUGCCGUCGAAGUGAAAUGGACCUCACGAUCUAGAGGAAGGAGAAGUCGUAACA